AUUGGCUUGUGGUGGCGCGUUGGAUCCCUGCUCAGGCAGCGACAAUGUCCCACGCAUGCCUCUUCAGUUGUUGGCUCGAGCACGUAUCGUCCGUUGUCGGUUUCUUGUGCUGAAUACCUACUGGGAAGGCAUUCUUCGGUUGCUAGUGAUAAGCUUUCGCCUUGUGCCGCGCCCCUCGUGGAUGCGGCGCAGGGUGGACCUCAAGACACGCUUCGUGUCCCAAGUCCCCUGCACGUCUUCGUGCUCGGGUCGUUGGCCCAUGUUGUCGUGCGUGGACUCUCGGAUAUGGAACAUUGUGCGGGUACGAGGCCUCGGCCUCUAUCUUGCCCAAACAACAAGCGUUCUACGCUUCGUGCGAACGACUGCCGCAUGCGUGUUGAUUGUCCCUCGUGGCUUAACUCAUGCGCCUGCGGUGUCCGUUGGGAA
rnacentral:misc_RNA from 1 species